UACGUAGGGGGCAAGCGUUGUCCGGAAUUAUUGGGCGUAAAGAGCGCGUAGGCGGUCCGAUAAGUCGGCUGUGAAAGUCAGGGGCUCAACCCUUGGAAGCCGGCCGAUACUGUCGGGCUCGAGUCCGGAAGAGGAGUGUGGAAUUCCUGGUGUAGCGGUGAAAUGCGCAGAUAUCAGGAGGAACACCAAUGGCGAAGGCAGCACUCUGGGACGUGACUGACGCUGAGACGCGAAAGCGUGGGGAGCAAACAGG
rnacentral:rRNA from 1 species